rnacentral:lncRNA from 1 species
UACUGGUCCAAUGCUUGGAUAGGAUCUCCUUUAGAUUGCUCGCAACCACACAAAAUCAUCCAAUCUCUACAGAACAUCCACACAAAGACCCUUGCAGAUUAGCUUCCUUGGAAGUGCUAGCUUGCAAGGAUCUUUAAGGCUGAUCUCUUCUUUCUUCUUCAAGAACCUUGGACGCUCCAAAGGAUGAAGAGAUUUGGAGGAGAAAGAGGAG